rfam:Clostridium sp. IEH 97212 scaffold_92, whole genome shotgun sequence.
AGGAUAGAUCAUAAAAGAAGAGGUAUCUUAAUCGAAAAGGGCUGGAACGCCCUACCAUAGAAGGUAAUAGUCCUGUAGAUGAAAAGAGAAAACUUCGAGAUCUAAUCCAGAGUACCACGAGACACGUGAAACCUUGUGGGAAGCAGGGAGGACCACCUCCCAAGGCUAAAUACUACCUAGUGACAGAUAGUGAAGCAGUACCGUGAGGGAAAGGUGAAAAGAACACCGGGAGGGGAGUGAAAUAGAACCUGAAACCGUGUGCCUACAACCGAUCAGAGCACGUUAAAGUGUGACGAUGUGCUUUUUGUAGAACGAGCCAGCGAGUUACGCUAUGUAGCAAGGUUAAGUACUUAAGGUAUGGAGCCGAAGGGAAACCGAGUCUGAAAAGGGCGAAAAGUUGCAUGGUGUAGACCCGAAACCGGGUGAUCUAUCCAUGGCCAGGUUGAAGCGAGAGUAAAAUCUCGUGGAGGACCGAACCACGUUGGUGUUGAAAAACCAUGGGAUGAGCUGUGGAUAGCGGAGAAAUUCCAAUCGAACUCGGAGAUAGCUGGUUCUCCCCGAAAUAGCUUUAGUGCUAGCGUCGUGUAAUUGAGUAAUGGAGGUAGAGCACUGAAUGGGCUAGGGGCUAUAGUAGUUACCGAACCCUAUCAAACUCCGAAUGCCAUAUACUUGUAUCACGGCAGUCAGACUACGAAUGAUAAGAUCCGUAGUCAAAAGGGAACCAGCCCAGACCAUCAGCUAAGGUCCCAAAGUGUAAGUUAAGUGGAAAAGGAUGUGGGAUUUCUAAGACAACUAGGAUGUUGGCUUAGAAGCAGCCACUCAUUUAAAGAGUGCGUAAUAGCUCACUAGUCAAGAGAUCCUGCGCCGAAGAUGUCCGGGGCUCAAACUUACCACCGAAGCUAUGGGUGUACACUAUGUGUACGCGGUAGGGGAGCUUUCUGUAUGGGUUGAAGUCGUACCGUAAGGAGUGGUGGACUGUACAGAAG